rnacentral:sRNA from 1 species
UGUAAAUUCGUUCAUGAGUCCUACAGAGC